rnacentral:rRNA from 1 species
AUUGAACGCUGGCGGCAUGCCUUACACAUGCAAGUCGAACGGUAACAGGUCUUCGGAUGCUGACGGGUGGCGAACGGGUGAGUAAUACAUCGGAACGUGCCUAGUAGUGGGGGAUAACUACUCGAAAGAGUGGCUAAUAUCGCAUGAGAUCUACGGAUGAAAGCAGGGGAUCGCAAGACCUUGUGCUACUAGAGCGGCCGAUGGCAGAUUAGGUAGUUGGUGGGAUAAAAGCUUACCAAGCCGACGAUCUGUAGCUGGUCUGAGAGGACGAUCAGCCACACUGGGACUGAGACACGGCCCAGACUCCUACGGGAGGCAGCAGUGGGGAAUUUUGGACAAUGGGCGCAAGCCUGAUCCAGCAAUGCCGCGUGCAGGAUGAAGGCCUUCGGGUUGUAAACUGCUUUUGUACGGAACGAAAAGCCCUGGGUUAAUACCCUGGGGUCAUGACGGUACCGUAAGAAUAAGCACCGGCUAACUACGUGCCAGCCGCCGCAGUAACAC